AUUGAACGCUGGCGGCAGGCCUAACACAUGCAAGUCGAACGGUAACAGGAAGCAGCUUGCUGCUUCGCUGGCGAGUGGCGGACGGGUGAGUAAUGUCUGGGAAACUGCCUGAUGGAGGGGGAUAACUACUGGAAACGGUAGCUAAUACCGCAUAACGUCGCAAGACCAAAGAGGGGGACCUUAGGGCCUCUUGCCAUCGGAUGUGCCCAGAUGGGAUUAGCUAGUAGGUGGGGUAACGGCUCACCUAGGCGACGAUCCCUAGCUGGUCUGAGAGGAUGACCAGCCACACUGGAACUGAGACACGGUCCAGACUCCUACGGGAGGCAGCAGUGGGGAAUAUUGCACAAUGGGCGCAAGCCUGAUGCAGCCAUGCCGCGUGUAUGAAGAAGGCCUUCGGGUUGUAAAGUACUUUCAGCGGGGAGGAAGGGAGUAAAGUUAAUACCUUUGCUCAUUGACGUUACCCGCAGAAGAAGCACCGGCUAACUCCGUG
rnacentral:rRNA from 1 species